CCCUUAGAGUUUGAUCCUGGCUCAGGAUGAACGCUAGCUACAGGCUUAACACAUGCAAGUCGAGGGGCAGCAUGACCUAGCAAUAGGUUGAUGGCGACCGGCGCACGGGUGAGUAACACGUAUCCAACCUACCGGUUAUUCCGGGAUAGCCUUUCGAAAGAAAGAUUAAUACCGGAUAGUAUAACGAGAAGGCAUCUUUUUGUUAUUAAAGAAUUUCGAUAACCGAUGGGGAUGCGUUCCAUUAGUUUGUUGGCGGGGUAACGGCCCACCAAGACAUCGAUGGAUAGGGGUUCUGAGAGGAAGGUCCCCCACAUUGGAACUGAGACACGGUCCAAACUCCUACGGGAGGCAGCAGUGAGGAAUAUUGGUCAAUGGACGAGAGUCUGAACCAGCCAAGUAGCGUGAAGGAUGACUGCCCUAUGGGUUGUAAACUUCUUUUAUAGGGAAUAAAGUGAGCCACGUGUGGC
rnacentral:rRNA from 1 species